CAGUUCUCGACCUUUUUCGUGUCCAACAGGAAUUGGAAGGUCUGAUUUGAAGAACAAAGGACAAUUUUGAAGCUCUUUAGUCCAUCAAUUCCCCUUAAAAGAGCCAUGAUCACAGAUAUUCAACUAGCAGCCUUUGCAAACAUUCUGGGAGUGUCGCUGUUCCUUCUUGUUGUUCUGUAUCACUUUGUAGCAGUCAAUAAUCCUAAGAGGAAAGAAGAGUAAUUUGAUUCAAUGUUAACAUGUACAGAAAUUUUAGCAUUCAAUGGUCUUUAUUGCCUCAGGACAAGAAGAAACCAAGUGUUUAGAUAAAAAGUCAAGACUCAUAUUGUACAUGUGUCAUUAUUAUUAGAAACGUUUCUUCACUGUAAUGUUGCUUUUAAGACAAUAAAAGUAUUUUGUAAUCCAG